GUCGUGGUUNUUUCAGAGUCCGGGGACAACAACUGGAAACGGUGGCUAAUACCGGAUGUGCCGAAAGGUGAAAGGCUUGCUGCCUGGAGAUGAGCUCGCGUCUGAUUAGCUAGUUGGUAGAGUAAGAGCCUACCAAGGCGACGAUCAGUAGCUGGUCUGAGAGGACGAUCAGCCACACUGGGACUGAGACACGGCCCAGACUCCUACGGGAGGCAGCAGUGGGGAAUUUUCCGCAAUGGGCGAAAGCCUGACGGAGCAAUACCGCGUGAGGGAGGAAGGCUCUUGGGUUGUAAACCUCUUUUCUCAAGGAAGAAUGCAAUGACGGUACUUGAGGAAUAAGCAUCGGCUAACUCCGUGCCAGCAGCCGCGGUAAUACGGAGGAUGCAAGCGUUAUCCGGAAUGAUUGGGCGUAAAGCGUCCGCAGGUGGUUUUGUGUGUCUGCUGUUAAAGAGUGAGGCUCAACCUCAUAAAAGCAGUGGAAACUACAAGACUAGAGUACGUUCGGGGCAGAGGGAAUUCCUGGUGUAGCGGUGAAAUGCGUAGAGAUCAGGAAGAACACCGGUGGCGAAAGCGCUCUGCUAGGCCUGUACUGACACUGAGGGACGAAAGCUAGGGGAGCGAAUGGGAUUAGAUACCGCAGUAGUCACACUCGCGAUUGGUCCACCCAAGCGAAAGAUAAU
rnacentral:rRNA from 1 species